UACGAGGGGUGCAAGCGUUAAUCGGAAUUACUGGGCGUAAAGCGUUCGUAGGCGGUUUGUUAAGCAAGAUGUGAAAGCCCAGGGCUCAACCUUGGAACUGCAUUUUGAACUGGCAAACUAGAGUACUGUAGAGGGUGGUGGAAUUUCCAGUGUAGCGGUGAAAUGCGUAGAGAUUGGAAGGAACAUCAGUGGCGAAGGCGGCCACCUGGACAGAUACUGACGCUGAGGAACGAAAGCGUGGGGAGCGAACAGG
rnacentral:rRNA from 1 species